GACGAACCGUGCGAACGUUGUUCGGAUUCACUGGGCAUAAAGGGCGCGUAGGCGGAUGGUCAAGUCGGGGGUGAAAUCUUUCAGCUUAACUGGAAAAGUGCCUCCGAUACUGAUCGUCUCGAGGGAGGUAGGGGCAUGUGGAACUUCCGGUGGAGCGGUGAAAUGCGGUAGAUAUCGGAAGGAACGCCGGUGGCGAAAGCGACGUGCUGGACCUCUUCUGACGCUGGAGGCGCGAAAGCUAGGGGAGCAAACGGG
rnacentral:rRNA from 1 species